CUGGUGUACCUGUAGGUUCGGGGGGACUCCAGUUUGAAGACCCAGCUAUGAACAUCCUAUUACACUGAUCCAGCACUCCGCUCCUCUCCUCUCCCUUUGCCCACUUCUCUCUCAGUUUUGGUUUUACUGAACUAGUGGUUCCCUUCUCAGCUGCAGUGUGUGGAGCUACAUCAUGGACUUUCUGCCUGACUUUGCUGGCCUUGUACAGACUCUUCAGUCACCUCCUGCCCUGAGGUAGGGAGAGCGGAGCCAGGUUCUUGUGAAUGAAAAGGAAGGAGUCAUCACAGGGCACACACCUCACUGCACCUCUUCUCGACCAGCUUCCCAGUGAAAGCAUUGACAACUAUGAAUUGACCUCUGAGUAUUUCUGUGACUCCAUCCCCAAGACUUUCUGUAUUACGAAGAUUUCUAAUUUUUGUUAUUUACUCCAAGGUCUGUUAUUAAGUAAUUGGCUUAUGUCUUAUUUUAGUGGUUAUAUUGGAGAUUUUUAAACAUUUUCCAUAUGGUAUUCCUGUUAUUCAUUUGAAUUCUUACAUCAAUAAAAGUAAUAGCAAUAAAGUAUUACUAAUAACUAUUUCUCACCUUAUUAUACUGUGACCAGAGAAUAUAACCUGGAGAAUUUCUUCUAUUGUUAAUUUAUUCAGAUCCAAGGAAACUACUUCUACUCAUUAAGAAAUUCCUUGUGCUUGUUUUCUAUUUUCCCUGUGAGAAUUUUAGAGAAGCAAAAGUCUUGUUUGUAUUUUCUGAUGUUCUCAGUAUAUGUUCUCAAACUUAUGUAGACACCUAAAGGUGAACAAAGUAUGCAGAUAUCUGAAGCCAUGAGCCUCCUAGAUGUCACUCGAAGUGUAAAAUCUAAAACUUCUCUGUAGCAAAUGAAAGGGAAACUCUCCCUUCAAUGAGCCGGAUUCCUAGCAUAAUCUUCUCUCUCAAUUUCAAAGUUUCCCAUGUCACUCAUACAUCCAGACAUUUCCCAUUGAGUUUGUGUGGUAUACUCUCUCUUUAUGUCAUUACUCAUUCCUUAAGUAUCUACUCCGCUGACCAAAUCAUUCCAGCAGAGUGAUUUAUACCACCAUUUCUCCCUGGCACAUGCCAUUUUGCAAUUUCUUGUUUGCAAUUAUAAAUCUUCUACAUGGGGAGGAAGUAGUAUAUUUUAUUUAUUUUGGCAUCCCCAGGGCCUAACUCGCUACUCACUGCACAUAUGUUUGCUGAAUUUAGUUUGAUGUUGAAAGAAUUUUAUCUUUAACAAAACAUUUACCUGUCCUUUAUUUCUAUAACAAGAUGUUAGAAAGAGAUACAUGCCCCUUCAUCUCCCUCAUAAGAGGGGUGUGGGCUUCCACGGGGCCACUGAAAGAGCUUAACAUGUGACCUCUAUAGGUCAUAAGGGUGUGCAGUCUAAUGUCCACCCAGAG
rnacentral:lncRNA from 1 species